GAUGAACGCUGGCGGCGUGCUUAACACAUGCAAGUCGAACGGGAAACUUUUCAUUGAAGCUUCGGCAGAUUUGGUCUGUUUCUAGUGGCGGACGGGUGAGUAACGCGUGGGUAACCUGCCUUAUACAGGGGGAUAACAACCAGAAAUGGUUGCUAAUACCGCAUAAGCGCACAGGACCACAUGGUCCGGUGUGAAAAACUCCGGUGGUAUAAGAUGGACCCGCGUUGGAUUAGCUAGUUGGCAGGGCAACGGCCUACCAAGGCGACGAUCCAUAGCCGGCCUGAGAGGGUGAACGGCCACAUUGGGACUGAGACACGGCCCAGACUCCUACGGGAGGCAGCAGUGGGGAAUAUUGCACAAUGGGGGAAACCCUGAUGCAGCGACGCCGCGUGAAGGAAGAAGUAUCUCGGUAUGUAAACUUCUAUCAGCAGGGAAGAUAGUGACGGUAC
rnacentral:rRNA from 1 species